rnacentral:rRNA from 1 species
UACGGAGGGGGCUAGCGUUGUUCGGAAUUACUGGGCGUAAAGCGCACGUAGGCGGCUUUGUAAGUUAGAGGUGAAAGCCCGGGGCUCAACUCCGGAAUUGCCUUUAAGACUGCAUCGCUAGAAUUGUGGAGAGGUAAGUGGAAUUCCGAGUGUAGAGGUGAAAUUCGUAGAUAUUCGGAAGAACACCAGUGGCGAAGGCGGCGACCUGGGCCAAUAUUGACGCUGAGGUGCGAAAGCGUGGGAGCAAACAGG